GACGAACGCUGGCGGCGUGCCUAAUACAUGCAAGUCGAACGCAGUGGGGACGGGUGAGUAACACGUGGGUAACCUCCCAUCAGAGGGGAUAACACUUGGAAACAGGUGCUAAACCGAUACUGCUGGAUGGAACCGCGGUGCCUUGGCUAGUUGGUGAGGUAACGGCUAACCAAGGCCACGAUGCAUCGUCGGUCUGCGAGGGUGGUCGGCCACACUUGGACUGAUACACGGCCCAGACUCCUACGUGCGGCAGCAGUAGGGAAUCUUCGGCAAUGUACGAAAGUCUGAACGAGCCACGCCGCGUGAGUGAAGUAGGUUUGCGGAUCGUAAAACUCUUUUGUUAGAGAAGCGGUAUCUAACCAGAAAGCCACGGCUAACUACGUGCCAGCAGCCGCGGUAAUAC
rnacentral:rRNA from 1 species